GGGCAUUCAAUAUUGGUUCCGGAUGUAAGGUCGGAGGGGGAGGAACAGACGGCAACCGAGGAUGUCGUGGCCUGCAUAACAACUGCUCAACUGGGCGGUUAUUGGGGUCAUUCGCUCACUAGCAAAGUGCAAUAUAUAAUAGCUAUAUACAGUCACACCAGAAUAGCAUAUCUAUUUGGCUAUAUGUGUAUCAUCUUGUAGGAAGCAUCGCUUGAGGUUCGUGUGGCAUAAAAAAAGUCAAACAAGCUCCAUUUCUUUAAACUACAAUCUUCAUUACGGUUAAGAACCUACUCCCAUCACCUGCCAGGUGCAUUGUCUCGGUUGAACACUUAUGGUGACGAGAUUAUCGACUUUUGGCUAGAUUGCAUGGAGUGGUAGAGAACCGACUCUUUGCCUUUGGCAGGUCAGCACUUUCUUCCAGUCCGGUCAUCCCACACAACAAAGCUAAGGAACUAAGUAGCGAAAGGAAGGAUGACGGCUAAUUCAAUUGCUUUUUUUCCUCUCAACUUUAUCCUUGAAAAUAGAAGAAGAAGGGAGGAGGUGGGG
rnacentral:misc_RNA from 1 species